GAUGAACGCUGGCGGCAUGCCUAAUACAUGCAAGUCGAACGGAGUGAAGCCUUCGGGUUUCAUUCAGUGGCGAACGGGUGAGUAAUACGCAGGGAACCUGGCCAUGGCAGGGGGAUACACUCUGGAAACGGAGCAUAAGACCCCAUAGGCAGUAAGGCGGCAUCGCCUUGCUGUUAAAGAAAGCUGAAAGGCUUUGGCGAUGGAUGGACCUGCGGUGCAUUAGCUUGUUGGUGAGGCAACGGCUUACCAAGGCGAUGAUGCAUAGCCGGCCUGAGAGGGCGGACGGCCACACUGGGACUGAGACACGGCCCAGACUCCUGCGGGAGGCAGCAGUAGGGAAUUUUCGUUCAAUGGGCGCAAGCCUGAAACGAAGCAAUGCCGCGUGAGUGAGGAAGGUCUUCGGACUGUAAAGCUCUGUUGCCGGGGAAAAAGGGGAAAUGCAGGAAAUGGCAUUUCAUGGAUGGUACCCGGGCCAGAAAGCCACGGCUAACUACGUGCCAGCAGCCGCGGUAAUACGUAGGUGGCGAGCGUUAUCCGGAAUGAUUGGGCGUAAAGGGUGCGCAGGCGGUCUGUUAAGUCUGAAGGCAAAGGGAUGAGCUCAACUCAUUUAUGAUUCAGAAACUGGCAGACUUGAGGACAGGAGAGGGCGGUGGAACUCCAUGUGUAGCGGUAAAAUGCGCAGAGAUAUGGAAGAACACCAGUGGCGAAGGCGGCCGAUUCCUGGCCUGUGACUGACGCUGAGGCACGAAAGCGUGGGGAGCGAAAUAGGAUUAGAUACCCCUAGUAGUCCACGCCGUAAACGAUGAGGACGCUAGGUGUUCGGGGAGUUGAAAUCUGCAGUGCCGAAGCCAACGCAGUGACUCCUGCCGCCUGGGGAGUAUGCACGCAAGAUGUGAAACUCAAAGGAAUUGACGGGGGCCCGCACAAGCGGUGGAGUAUGUGGUUUAAUUCGAAGCAACGCGAAGAACCUUACCAGGUUUUGACAUCGUGAUGAACGACAGGCGCAAAGCAUGCGACUCUUCGGAGGCGUAUCAUCCAGACAGGUGCUGCAUGGCCGUCGUCAGCUCGUGUCGUGAGAUGUUUCGGUUAAGUCCAGCAACGAGCGCAACCCCUGUUGCCAUGUUACUCACGCACGUGAAGGUGGGGACUCAUGUCGAGACUGCCGCAGAUCAAACUGGGAGGAAGGUGGGGACGACGUCAGGUCAGUCAUGGCCCUUAUGCCCAGGGCUGCACACGUACUACAAUGCCCAGUACAGAGGAGGGACCGAAGCCUGCGAGGCGGAGGAAAUCUCUGAAAACUGG
rnacentral:rRNA from 1 species